UUCUGGAGGCUGGGACAUCCAGGAUCACAGUGCCGGCAGAUUCUCUCCUUGGACAAUAAUCUCAUCCUGGGGCCCCAAGCUCAUGAGCUCAUCUAAACCUAAUCACCUCCCAAGGCCCCCCUCCAGCUACCAGCACAGUGGGCCGCUAAGAUGGGAUGAGCGCAGCACAGGAAAGACUCACUGAGUCCCUACGGACCCCAAGAGGAGGACCACGAGUGCACUUGCUUCACAAGGAGGAGGCUGAGGCUGGGGGAGUGAAGUGAGUUGCCUCAGCUUCCAGGUGACAGAAGUGGACUUGAACUCAUGCUCUGUGACCCAGUGCCCAGCAGGCCUCACAGCACCCACCGAGGGCCCUUUCCUUAGACCCCUCUGUCCUCACCCCACAGCCACCACGCCCUCCACUCCAGGCGCCAGGAGUUAGAAUGGGCCUUCCCACGAACACUCCAUCCUAUGCUGUGAGAGCCUGCAGAGCUGCAGGGGUGGGGCCCAGCUCUCCCGUGGUCUGCUCAUCAGUCCUGCUGUGGGCUCACUGAGGCCCAGACCUGCCAGUUGGCCUUAGACAGAGGAUGAGAGGCACCCAGUGACCAG
rnacentral:lncRNA from 1 species